GAUGAACGCUGGCGGCGUGCUUAAUACAUGCAAGUCGAGCGAAUGGAUUAAGAGCUUGCUCUUAUGAAGUUAGCGGCGGACGGGUGAGUAACACGUGGGUAACCUGCCCAUAAGACUGGGAUAACUCCGGGAAACCGGGGCUAAUACCGGAUAACAUUUUGAACCGCAUGGUUCGAAAUUGAAAGGCGGCUUCGGCUGUCACUUAUGGAUGGACCCGCGUCGCAUUAGCUAGGUGGUGAGGUAACGGCUCACCAAGGCAACGAUGCGUAGCCGACCUGCGAGGGUGAUCGGCCACCCUGGGACUGAGGCACGGCCCAGACUCCUACGGGAGGCAGCAGUAGGGAAUCUUCCGCAAUGGACGAAAGUCUGACGGAGCAACGCCGCGUGAGUGAUGAAGGCUUUCGGGUCGUAAAACUCUGUUGUUAGGGAAGAACAAGUGCUAGUUGAAUAAGCUGGCACCUUGACGGUACCUAACCAGAAAGCCACGGCUAACUACGUGCCAGCAGCCGCGGUAA
rnacentral:rRNA from 1 species